rnacentral:rRNA from 1 species
UACAGAGGGGGGCGAGCGUUGUUCGGAAUUACUGGGCGUAAAGGGCGCGUAGGCGGCCUCUUAAGUCGAACGUGAAAUCCCCGGGCUCAACCUGGGAACUGCAUUUGUGACUGCACGGCUAGAGUGUGUCAGAGGGGGGUAGAAUUCCACGUGUGAGCAGUGAAAUGCGUAGAUAUGUGGAGGAAUACCGAUGGCGAAGGCAGCCCCCUGGGCCAAUACUGACGCCUCAUGCACGAAAGCGUGGGGAGCAAACAGG